ensembl:lncRNA
AGUGGGAGUUUAAAAGUUAAUGUUCUGUUCUAUGAGCUGCCUUUUUUGGGCAUUUUGGUUCUGGGACAGGAGGGAAGUAGUGGCAUUCCCCAGAGGAGUUAAAUCCCAGAGGAACAAAGGUAUAGCUCCUGGCAGGACACCAGCCUCUCUCCCUCUCGCAGACUCUCAGUUGCCCAGUGGAGAAGCACGUGGUUCCCUCUGCACUCUACAGACUCUGCUUUAGAUACUGAAAGGUCACCAUCAGGUCACCUCGCAGCCUUCUCUUCUUCAGGCUGAACAGCCCCAGCUCUUUCAGCCUGUCUUCAUAAGAAGUGUGCUCCACACCUUGGAUCAUUUUUGUGGCUGUCCUCUGGAUGUGCUCCAGCAGGUCCAUGCCUCUUGUACACUGAGGACUCCACAUCUGAAUGCAGCACUAGAGUUACAGGUGACAUUUUUACCUUGCGCUGGCUGUGAUCAAGGACCAGUCCAACAAAAGGAUUUGUUUCUCAUGGAGAAAAACGAAGUUGACAACACACCAGUGUUUAUAGUUGCUGCAAAGAAAGAAAGAAAGAAAGAAAGAAAGAAAGAAAGAAAGAAAGAAAGAAAGAAAGAAAGAAAGGAAGAAAGAAAGGAAGAAAAAGAAGAAAGAAAAAAAGGAAAAAAAGAAGAAGAAGAAAGAAAAAAAGGAAAAAAGAAAAUAUUGAAUCAAGGAAAGAAGUCUGUUAGCCAUGUGAUAAAAUCUAAGAUAUGACACUGAGAUUUUAUUGGCCAGAAAGUUUUGUACCAACUUGAGUAAUGGUCAUCACAGAAGUCUUAUGCAAAGAAAGCUUUACUGUUGUUUGAGGCUUCAUCCAAUAAAGGAAGAUUUAGCCAACAAAAUUCAAAUAGAAUGGUGAAGACACUAAGACAGAGAAGGAAAAGAUGAAACAGAAGAAACAACGUUUGGUUAAUUUCCACUGGGAUCCUCGUUCUACAUGCCCCAGGGGAGCAAAGGAAGGGAAAGGAGUGGUUAAAAAAAAAAAAAAAGGAAAGAAUAUGAGGUGUCUGUGAGCAGGAUAAAGGGAAGAAACCAGGACAAGUUCAACAGCAACAUAAUUAUCUGUCUUGGGAUGGGCUGUCAACUGAAGUGAUAAUACUCAGCUUUUUGAAAAUCAUAAGCUACCUUAAUUCACUAAGCAUCUACUAAGAUGUUUUGCAGAUGCUAAAUAGCCUUCUUUGGUUGCUCUGGUUUCAAUUAUCGUCUAAAUGCUACAAGCUGCAUAAGAUGGUGCAUGGCUUCCUUUGUCCUACAUGUAGCAGGGUGAUUGAAUUAGACUUGUCUCUAAAUCUCUUGAGGGUUACAUCCCCAAAUCUGAGAUUCUUCCUUGCCUUACUUCAUUCAAGCAACACUAUGAGCUGUACUUUACCUGGGCCACACUAUUGUGCAAACUGUGCCUAAUCUGCACUCUCAAGACACAGUAUGAGCUACUGCUUAAGUAAGACAAAACUGCCACGUUUUUGGUAUCACAAACCAAAGUAUCAUUAAAUUACAACCACUAAAAUCUUACAUAUUUAUUUAUAUAUGUAUGUGUGUAUACAUACAUUAAAGUCUCUGCAUCUAUCUACCUUGUCGUGUGUAUAUGCAGUGUUUUCUUGUGCUAGUC